GACAGAGGCCUCGAGCGUUAGGCGGAAUCACUGGGCUUAAAGCGUGUGUAGGCGGAUCGUUAAGUACCUUGUGAAAUCCCACGGCUCAACCGUGGAACGGCUGGGUAUACUGGCGGUCUUGGGCCAUUCAGGGGCGACUGGAACAAGCGGUGGAGCGGUGAAAUGCGUAGAUAUCGCUUGGAACGCCGAAGGUGAAAACAGGUCGCUGGGGAUGUGCCGACGCUGAGACACGAAAGCCAGGGGAGCAAACGGGG
rnacentral:rRNA from 1 species